UGGGCCAUAGCUCAGUGGUACAGCAUCUGCUUCGCAUGCAGAAGUUCCCAUCUUCAAUCCCAUGAGUCCUCAAGCUGGGCCAA